rnacentral:rRNA from 1 species
AACGCGAAGAACCUUACCAAGGUUUGACAUGGACCGAAAACUCAUGGAGACAUGGGGUCCUUCGGGCGGUUCACAGGUGGUGCAUGGCUGUCGUCAGCUCGUGUCGUGAGAUGUUGGGUUAAGUCCCGCAACGAGCGCAACCCUCGUCCAAUGUUGCCAGCGGGUUAUGCCGGGGACUCAUUGGAGACUGCCGGGGUCAACUCGGAGGAAGGUGGGGAUGACGUCAAGUCAUCAUGCCCCUUAUGUCUUGGGCUGCAAACAUGCUACAAUGGCCGGUACAAAGGGCUGCGAACCCGCGAGGGUAAGCGAAUCCCGGAAAGCCGGCCUCAGUUCGGAUUGGAGUCUGCAACUCGACUCCAUGAAGCUGGAAUCGCUAGUAAUCGUGGAUCAGCAUGCCACGGUGAAUACGUUCCCGGGCCUUGUACACACCGAGACGAC